rnacentral:tRNA from 1 species
UGCGAUAGUGGCUCAGUUGGAUAGAGCAACGGUCUUCUAAACCGUAGGUCGUGGGUUCGAACCCCACCUAUCGCAU